GAUGAACGCUGGCGGCGUGCCUAAUACAUGCAAGUCGAGCGAACGGACGAGAAGCUUGCUUCUCUGAUGUUAGCGGCGGACGGGUGAGUAACACGUGGAUAACCUACCUAUAAGACUGGGAUAACUUCGGGAAACCGGAGCUAAUACCGGAUAAUAUUUUGAACCGCAUGGUUCAAAAGUGAAAGACGGUCUUGCUGUCACUUAUAGAUGGAUCCGCGCUGCAUUAGCUAGUUGGUGAGGUAACGGCUUACCAAGGCAACGAUGCAUAGCCGACCUGAGAGGGUGAUCGGCCACACUGGAACUGAGACACGGUCCAGACUCCUACGGGAGGCAGCAGUAGGGAAUCUUCCGCAAUGGGCGAAAGUCUGACGGAGCAACGCCGCGUGAGUGAUGAAGGUCUUCGGAUCGUAAAACUCUGUUAUUAGGGAAGAACAUAUGUGUAAGUAACUGUGCACAUCUUGACGGUACCUAAUCAGAAAGCCACGGCUAACUACGUG
rnacentral:rRNA from 1 species